GUCACCACGAGCGCGAGAAGUCGAAGGUAGGAGCAGAAAGCGGUGUUAGUGUUAGUUCUGGCCCGUUUGGACCCAAACUAAAGUGUAUCAGUAUGAAGCAGGCGGUGACGGCGCACUGAUUCACUCUCGGAGCUCGGUUCACUAAUGACCGAAUCACCGAGGAACCGACCAAAGAUAACUCACACCCGCACGGAGAAGAAGAACAAGAGGAGGAGAAGAUGAACUGGAGUGGGGCAAAGAGAACUGCAUUCAGAUCAAACGGAUACAAGAGAGGUGGCCGAGUUUGAGGAUCUAAAGAAUUGAGUGUCACAAUUCAACAUGCACAUCAGCGAAACUUUUCCCUCUGACUACACCAGCACGCACGCACAGAAAUUCAUAGUGCAGGGAACUGUGGACGAGGAGCUCGCCUCCAAGGAACUCUAUGGAAACGACCCCAGGACCACCAUAGUGGUGUGUAAUCUCCCUCCAUUUGCAUUCCUCUACCAUAAACAGCUCCAGUCUCUCUUCAGACACUGUGGUUAAAUCAAAUCCAUCUCCUUUGACAGCUCCAGGGCCUAUGUAGAGUUCUACCGCUCAUCAAUGAGAGGUUCUGGCGUUCUCCCAGAGGUCUCUCUGUCUCUCCUCCUCACGCAGCAGAGACUUCCUCUCCAUCUCAACGUUUAACCCACUGGAGAGGUGGAGACUUGGGCAGGGGGGUAGUGUAUCUCACACCUCAGAUAUACACGGGUGAAUGUGGAUUUUCAGAAUCAGUCAGUGAGCCCUGUCGGGGUUCUGAGCAGCUCCAUUGAGUUGGAGAAUCUUCCGUCUAACCCUGUCUUUAUCGUCAAUAUCACCGAGGUGUCUGUUCCGCCUCUUUCACUUUCAGUGCACAAAUAAAAAAGAAGCAGUGGCUCCUGUGUGUGUGUGUGUGUGUGUGUGUGUGUGUGUGCACUAACAGGAGGUCCAGGUGCAGCCUUUGGAUAUUGAUGAAGAUUUACUGCCCCUGCAAGACCUUCCUCAACUGCGUAGUCUGGAGCAAAGGAUGCAACAGAGCCCAGAUUACAAGCAAAAUCUGGUAAACUGGUUGGCGCUUAUUGACGGGGUGUAUGUGCGUGACUGCACCUGGCGCAUAUUGAAGAGGGUGAUUGCUAACUCCCUGGCAAAGAAUCUCAAUUGGAGGGGAGUCAAUGGAAAGACUUCACUGUCCGCUCUCCAACUCGGAGAGGUCGUGAUUGGUAAGUAUAUCUGUUUACAUACAGAAUUAGCUGUCUCUCUCAGAUGAUAUGUAAGGGGUAAUCCACGGCUAGAUGUGCAUUAAACGAUUUAAUGCAUGAUGUGGAGGAAAAGAACCACUCGUUCAAAUCGUUUAAUGCACACCUAGCCAUGGAUUACCCCGCCUAUACCAUGGUCUUUCCACAAUUAAUAACGUUAAAGCUGUCAUUGGUUUAGAAGUGCAAACUUUGAUUAGAAGUUUAAAAUAAACUUUGGGAGGUCCCACUUCGGCUCUAAUUGGCUAUUUAUAUUUCUCUGGUUUACUUUAUUUAAAUGGUUAGUAGUCAUAUGGAUCCCAGCAUAGCUGGGACAGGCACGCCUUUAAGAUUUAUUAGUUGGAACGUCAGAGGUAUGGGUAAUCCUGUCAAGACAUCUAAGGAUUUUAUACAUUUGAAACAUUUAAACUUCAAUAUAGUAUUUUUACAGGAGACGCACCUACGUCUUAAAGUAUUAAAGAUCAUCAAAGGUUACUCUGCCCUUGGGUGAGUCAAGUCUUCCACUCGAACUUUAAUUCGAAAGCAAGAGGGGUCGCUAUUUUAAUUGACAAAAGGUCACAGUUUUCCUCCACUAACGUUGUUGCUGAUGUGAACGGUAGAUAUAUUAUAGUUGCUGGUACUCUGAUGCAAAGACAGGUGUUGUUGGUAAAUGUACACGCUCCAAACUUUGAUGUGGAAUUUGCUAAUAGAUUGUUGAGCAAUCUCCCUUUUUAAAUACUCACCUGUAGAUUUUCGGGGGAGAUUUAAACUGUGUAAUUCACCAAAACUUUGAUCGGUCUAAUUCCCGUACUCUGAAUCAAUCUGCAAUGUCUAAAACAUUUUCCGAUUUUAUGGGUCAGAACGGUCUUGUUUAUCCCUGGAGAUCCCGUAACUCUGCUCUUAAAAAGUUUUCUUUCUUCUCCCAGGUGCUAUCCUAUUGAAAUCCUAUUCGAGGAUUGAUUAUUUUUUAUAGACAGCACUCUUGAUUCUUGUGUAGUUUCUUCUGACUAUUUGGGUAUUGUAAUUUCUGACCAUGCGAUCAUGAAUUAGAUAUUCAUCUUUCUAUUUAUAAACGUAGCCAACCGCCUUGGAGAUUUAAUUUUCUUCUUUUAGCAGACAGUGAAUUCUGUGAGUUCAUUUCUACUUCUAUGGAUGACUUUCUUUUCUUCAGUCAGAAUGACUCCACCUCUUAUUCAUUGUUAUGGGAGACACUUAAAUCCUAUAUCAGAGGGCAGAUUAUUUCUUACUCCACUCUCUGUAAUUAAAAGCGCACUGCUAGGGUUAAUGAACUUACAUCUGCGAUCAGUAGUCUCGAUCAAAGAUGUGCGUUGAACCCCUCUCCAGAACUUCUUAAACAGCGAAUCGACUUACAGGCAGAAUUCAAUCUUAUUUCGACUGAAGAGGCGGAACGCUUGUUGUUACGUACUCCUGGUUCAUAUUAUGAACAUGGCGACGAGCCGAGUCGUUUACUGGCACGUCAGCUACGGCGACAGGCCGCUUCCCGUCUCAUACCUAGUGUUAAAAACACUCAUAAUAUCAUCAUUACAGAGCCCAUGGAAAUUAAUGCUACUUUUAAAUGGUUUUACUCUUCACCUUAUAAAUCUGAAUUUCCUGCAGACGAUACUAAAGUGAAUGCAUUUCUUCAAGACCUUUGUACCCCUGUUAGUGAUUCGAAUACUGCCAUGCAACUGGACUCCCCACUCUCUCUUGAAGAAAUUUGAAUUCAGUUAAAACUAUGCAGUGUAACAAAGCUCCUGGCCCGGACGGGUUCCGAUUGAAUUGUUUAAAGCAUCUAUUGGAAAUU